AGCAGUCCAGCAGACAGACAGACAGGCAGGCAGGUGCUUGAGCAGUCCAUCAGACAGGCAGGCAGCCAGGUGCUUGAGCAGUCCAUCAGACAGACAGACAGGCGGGCAGGUGCUUGAGUAGUCCAGCAGACAGACAGGCAGGCAGGUGCUUGAGCAGUCCAGCAGACAGACAGGCAGGCAGGUGCUUGAGUAGUCCAGCAGACAGACAGGCAGGCAGGUGCUUGAGCAGUCCAGCAGACAGACAGGCAGGCAGGUGCUUGAGCAGUCCAGCAGACAGACAGGCAGGCAGGUGCUUGAGCAGUCCAGCAGACAGACAGGCAGGCAGGUGCUUGAGCAGUCCAGCAGACAGACAGGCAGGCAGGUGCUUGAGCAGUCCAGCAGACAGACAGGCAGGCAGGUGCUUGAGUAGUCCAGCAGACAGACAGACAGGCGGGCAGGUGCUUGAGCAGUCCAGCAGACAGACAGGCAGGCAGCCAGGUGCUUGAGCAGUCCAGCAGACAGACAGGCAGGCAGGUGCUUGAGCAGUCCAGCAGACAGACAGGCAGGCAGGCAGGUGCUUGAGCAGUCCAGCAGACAGACAGGCAGGCAGGCAGGUGCUUGAGCAGUCCAGCAGACAGACAGGCAGGCAGGCAGGUGCUUGAGCAGUCCAGCAGACAGACAGGCAGGCAGGCAGGUGCUUGAGCAGUCCAGCAGACAGACAGGCAGGCAGGCAGGUGCUUGAGCAGUCCAGCAGAUAGACAGGCAGGCAGGCAGGUGCUUGAGCAGUCCAGCAGACAGACAGGCGGGCGGGCAGGUGCUUGAGUAGUCCAGCAGACAGACAGGCGGGCAGGUGCUUGAGCAGUCCAGCAGACAGACAGACAGGCAGCCAGGUGCUUGAGCAGUCCAGCAGACAGACAGGCAGGCAGGUGCUUGAGCAGUCCAGCAGACAGACGGGCAGGCAGGUGCUUGAGCAGUCCAGCAGACAGACAGGCAGGCAGGCAGGUGCUUGAGCAGUCCAGCAGACAGACAGGCAGGCAGGUGCUUGAGCAGUCCAGCAGACAGACAGACAGGCGGGCAGGUGCUUGAGCAGUCCAGCAGACAGGCAGGCAGGCAGGUGCUUGAGCAGUCCAGCAGACAGACAGGCAGGCAGGUGCUUGAGCAGUCCAGCAGGCAGGCAGGUGCUUGAGCAGUCCAGCAGACAGACAGGCAGGCAGGUCCCUCAGCAGUCCAGCAGACAGACAGGCAGGCAGGUGCUUGAGUAGUCCAGCAGACAGACAGACAGGCGGGCAGGCAGGUGCUUGAGUAGUCCAGCAGACAGACAGGCAGGCAGGUGCUUGAGUAGUCCAGCAGAC